CUAGAACACUCCCUUUGCAUGAUAAAAUGUCCUCCUCAAGGAAAAUAGCUUAUUUUUAUGAUCCUGAUGUCGGUAGCUUCCAUUAUGGUGCUGGUCAUCCAAUGAAGCCUCACAGAUUAGCACUGACCCACACACUUGUUCUUAAUUAUGGACUCUACAAGAAAAUGGAGGUAUAUAGACCAUAUAAAGCUUCAAAGCUGGACCUGUGCAGGUUUCAUGCUGAAGAUUAUAUUGAUUUUCUACAAAGGUUU